rnacentral:lncRNA from 1 species
CCUUAUGUCUCUCAGUUCUUAGUGGUUGUGAUCCAUUAUCACUAUACUCCUCUCACUACUUUAAAGGCACAACAAAAACCAGAACACUGAGAUAAGGGUUUUUUAAAAUAAUAAAUACUAAAUAAUAGUGUUAAUAUUUUUUAGGAAAAUAACCUUUAAAAAAUAUUCUGAUAGAGUGAUAAAGAACACAUGUCUUACUUUCCAUGUAACAACUAAAGGGAAUGUGUACUUUGAGUUUUCAAAAUAUAGUGACUCAAUCAUUGUGAUAAAAUAAUUUUCUCAAAUUUUCCCAGUCUGAUAAUUUCUUCCCACCCCCCUCUACAGUUAUUUCUCCUGGCUGUCCUCCAUGAUUGCCUUCUUUUUCCUCAUGUGUGCGGCUCCAGGUGCAGUGGAGUCCACUAAUCUUGUCCGCUGAACUAUAUCCAAUAAACAUUCAUAUUUCUCCAUUUAUUUUCUAGAUGGUAAAUCUGCAUGUUAGAUAAUUUACAUGAAUUGUGAUCCAAACAGAACCUUCUCAUAGUAAAUGGCUGAUAUGUCUCUUAAUUCUCUCUUUUUUCUUUUUAGGGGCACACCUGUGGCAUACAAAAGCUCCCAGGCUAGGGGUCAAAUCUGAGCUGCAGCUGCCAGCGACUCCACAGCCACAGUGAGACAGGAUCCAAGCUGCAUCUGCAACCUACACCACAGCUCAUGUCAACACUGGAUCCUUAACCCACUGAGUCAGGCUAUGGAUCAAACCCAUAUCCUCAUAGAUACGACUCAGGCUUAUAACCCACUGAGCCACGACAGGAACUCCUUAAUUCUCUUAAUAUAACAGGCUUUCCUUCUUUUCUUGCACCAUUUUUUGUUUUGGAAAUUGUGUUGGUUGCCUUGUAGGGUUUCAUAUUGUUGAUUAAAAUUCUGUAGUGAUAUUUAUGAGUCCUAAACAUAGUGAUUGUUUUCAGAUCUACAUCAUGUCUGGCAGUGUUUGUUUUGGCUAUGUGCCACAAGACACUAAAAAUAAAUGACAAACUUGGGAAAGUAUGUGGCACCUGAAUUCAUAAAGAGCUUCCAAAAGGUAGGGAAGAAAGUACCUAGGAUACCUAGGUAGAAUAUCUGGAGAAAAUUGGUCUAAAGAUUUAUAAAAGAGAGAUCAUGGAAAAAGAAAUGCUGACUUUAAAAACAAUGCUGAACUCAAUCAUAAUGAGAUAAAUAGAAUAUAAAAACACACUAAGGUAGUAUUUCUCAUCUGUAUUAUUGGUGGAAAAUAUUUGUCAACUUGUUCUGCUGGUAGCUAUGGGAAUAUAGGCACGGUGAUACAAUGCUGGAGAGAAAUUAAAAUGGUAGAACUCAUAGGAAGGGGAAUUUGGCAAUAUCAAGUAUAAUCACACAUUUAUUUUUCAUUUGGUCCAAUUAUCCCACUUGAAUAUAUGCUAAAAACAUGCUGGUAUUAAAAAAUUCAGAAAAACAAAUGGGAAAGUCUCCUUAUAUAAGAAUAGGAAUAUUUUUUAAUAGUCAAAGACUAGAAAUAUCCUCAAUGACCAUUUGCAAAGUCUUAUGAAAUACAUCCUGAUGCAGCCUUGCAAAAGAUUACUACACAUCUGGAAUAAAAAGAAUGAAGAUUUGCUCCUUACACUACCAUAUCUUGAUAUUUAGAAAAUAUUAAGGGGUAACAGCAAGGAAGAAAUAACUCUAAUAUGUGAUACUUUAUCUAAGAAGCAGCAGCAGCAGAUACUAGUGUCCACAUAUAUACCUGUAUUUGGUUAUAUUUUUCAAAAUUAAUGAAAAGAUAAACCUAGAUUUAAAGCUCAUUAGCUUAAUUUUAAGCUAAACUAAACAAAAACCACUAUCUAUACAUACAGAGAGAGGCAAUCACAUGAAGAAGAAAGAAAACCCGUAAUUCUUUGGCUUUAUCUUGGUUUGCAGAUUUGACCCUGGGACCAUGUAAACAUAUCAUGCUUAGAUAAAACAAAAUUCAAUUUAGUAUGAGAAUUUCUUAAAAUUUAAAGAAAAAAUAAAAACAAGCUAAUGUUGUAUCCAAUUUUUAAUACAGCCACACAGAAAGGAAAUAUUCUAUGUGAUCUUAGAACAUUAAUUGGAGUACACAUCCCUAAUGAGAUAAAACUACUAAUACAAAAAAGUUAAAACUCAGUUUUUAAUAAUUAUGUUUUUGGUGGUAGUCUUCAUAUUGGUACACUGAUGCUUGUCAGUGAGUAGGUAUGUAUGUCAAUGAUCAGUGAAUAAGACGACAAAUUUUUUUUUUUUGUCUUUUUAGGGCUGCACCUGCAGCAUAUGGAGGUUCCCAGGGUAGGGGUCUAAUCAGAGCUGUAGCCGCCAGCCUAGGCACAGCCACAGUAAUGCCAGAUUCUUAACCCAUUGAGUGAGGCCAGGGAUCAAACCCACAACCUCAUGGCUCUUUGUUGGAUUUGUUUCUGCUGCGCCGUGACAGGAACUCCAGAUGACAGAAUUUUUGAGAAUUGAGUUUUUCAGUGAGGAUAGAAGAUCAAGAUCUCAACUUGGUGAAGCAGGACUGGAGCUCAUAUUCUCUCAUAAAAACAGCAAAAUUACAACCAACUGCUGAACAACCAUCAACACAAUAGACUGGAAAGUACCUACCAAAAAAAGAUAUCCUAUACUAAAAGACAAAUAAGAGGUCAUAUCAAGACAUAGGAGGGGUGAUUACAUGAUGUAAGUCAGGUAGGAAGCCCACAGACUGGAAAGUAUCUCAAUCACAGAGACUCACCCACGGGAGUAAGAGUUCUCCGCCCCACAUCAGGUUCCCAUGCCUGGGGGUCUGGCAUUGGGAGGAGAAGCCCCCAGAACAUUCUGAAUUGAGGGCCAUUGGGGCUUGUGCACAGGAGCUCCACAGGACUGGGAAAAACAAAGACUCCACUCUUGAAAGGUGCACAUAGACUCUUGUGUGCUCUAGGUCGCAAGGUGAAGCAGAGACUACAUAGCAAUCUUGGUCAGACCUGCCUGCAGAUCUUGAAGGAUCUCCUGGGCAAACAGGUGGUGACUGUGGCUUGUUUUGCAGGAAGGGCAUUGGGGGCAAAGGUCUCAAGAAUAAGUAUCAGUGUGAACUCCACUGGAGGUGGCCAUUCUGGAAAAAUUCUGGCUCACCCAUCAGAGCUGAGAAGCCCCAGGCCAAACAACUCAUCUAGUGGGAACACAGUCACACCCAUAAGCAAAAAGGCUGCCUAAAGACCUCCCAGGCAUAUGCAACCUCUAAUCACACACAGAGACAAAGCCCCACUCACCACAGGGGUAAGAAUCAGCUCCACCUAGCAGUGGGCAGACACCAAUCCCUCCCAUCAGGAAACCUGCAGCAAGCACCUGUACCAACCUCAACCACAAAGGGGCAGACAUCAGAAGCAAGACAGGAUAUAACCCUAGUGGCUGCAAAAAGGACACCACACAAAAAAUUUAUACAAAGUGGAAAGGCAGAGAAAUAUGACUCAGAUAAAGGAACAACAACAACAAAAGAAUCUAGGUGAACUGGAGAUCACCAACCUCCAUGAAAAAGACUUUAGACUAAUACUAAUGAUAGUAGAGAUGAGUCAAGAUCUUGGAAAUGAACUUGAGGCACCAUUUGAUAAAUUAUAAGAAAUACUGAAGAAAUAGAAUAUUUAAAGAUUUAAGCACGCAUAAAUGCAAAAUAUGAUAACUGAAAGAAAAAAUUCAAAAGGAGGAACCAGCAGCAGAAUACAGGAGGCAGAAGAAUGAUUAAGUGAGGU